rnacentral:lncRNA from 1 species
UGUGUGUGUGUCUUUAUGUCACUGAGGGUAUAACCUGAUUGUGGAGUCCUGGCCUCUUCUCCCUUUCUGUGCAGUCUGGUGAUGAAACAAAUGAUCAUGUUACAUCACGUGCUCCUAUUAUGAUGAGCUGCCUUGCCAUAGCCCUCAAAACUGAUCCUGGGCUGAAAUCCUCCAAAACUGUGGGAUAAAAUAUACUUUUUAUAAAUCAUGGGGUAGCUUUCUAUCACUAUGACAAAAUACUGAAGGUGAAACAAUUUCUAAGGAAGAAAGGUAUGUUUUGGCUCAGUAUUCAAUUCAUCAUUGCUUCGCCCCUGGGCCUGUGGCAAGGCAGCUCACUGUAGUGAGAGCACAUUGCAAAGGAACCUGGUCACCUCAUGGCAGCCCUAAAGGUUUUACCAGCUCCCACUGGCACCACAGACUGGUGACCCAGCCUUUGUCACAAGGGUCUUUGGAACACCUGGCUGUGUGUUUAGUGACAGAAAGCCAACUAACUCACACACUCAGCAGGAUGGCUGCAGCACUUUGUUUUAACUUUAGAGGACAGAAAGAAAAUAGCAUUGUCAAGAAUAAUGACCAUCUGUAAUGUCCCCUACUCCUGGAGGGAAUGACAUCAGGGCAAACCACCUUAGAAAGCGGCUUGGUGGGGUCAGUAAGAUGGCUCGGUAGAGAAAGGCGCUCGCUGGUACGCCUGGUGACCUGACCUAACAGCUGCUGGUUUUUCCUAGUUAGUUUUGUUUGUUGUUUCAAGCUCUCUCUGGGCAGCCCUGGCUGUGCUGGAGCUUGCUAUGUGGACCAAACUGUCCUUGAACGCACAGAGAUCCUUUUGUUUCUGCCUCCCAAGCGCUAGGGUGAAAGGCAUGUGUUAACACAGCCAACCAGAUGACCUGGGACCUACAUGGUGGAAGGGGAGAGCCAACUAUUGUAAUGUGUGCUCUGACUUCCACACGAGUGCUGUGCCACACCGAAACAACAAUACACAUACACAGAAACAACAAUAAAUAAACAGAGGUGGAGAGCUGGCUCGGCAGUUAAGCAGUUAAGGACACACUGCUCUUGCAGAGGACAUGAGUUCAGUUCCCAGCACCCACGAGGACCAGUCACUCCGGCUCCAGAGGAGCUGCUGCCCUCUUCUGGCCUUUUUGGGCACCUGUACUCAGAUGUACCCACACACACCCAUCACAAUGCACAUAAUUAAAAUUCAAUCUUUUUUUCUUUUUUUCGAGACAGGGUUUCUCUGUGUAGCCUUGGCUGUCCUGGAACUCAUUCUGUAGACCAGGCUGGCCUCAAACUCAGAAAUCCGCCUACCUCUGCCUCCCAAGUGCUGGGAUUACAGGCAUGCGUCACCACGCCCGGCUUAAAAUUAAAUCUUAAUAAAAAGUACAGUGUGGAAUGUUUAUGUGACAGAGUGUAUCUAUAACACAGUACAUAUUGUGAAACUCUGGGCAAGAGAUGCCAGACACAAAGAACAAAUAUCUGUAUUCAUUUCUUCUGUGUUAGACUGUCUCAAAUAAAGUGGCUUGAACA